AACCACUACACCACACUGGCUCUUAUGGUCCAAUUUUAUGUAUGUUUACUUGGCUGUAUUUCCACUAUGUUCAGUCGAUCUUCUACCCAAGUAAGUAGGCUCAGAGUCGUGUAGUGACAUAAAUGCUUCUAUGUACACACCAGAACUUCCUCCUGUUCCCUCCAACUCCAAAUGCUUGGGCACAGAUGAGUUGAGGCUGUAGGCGGAAGGAAUGGCAAAAGCUUUACUGUGUAUAGCAAGAAGCCUUGAUUUUAGGAUACAUGCCUACAAGGGCUGGUUUCUGAUGGCCUAAGUGCCAGACUUACCUGGCACCUUCAUUACAUAUCUUUAGGUGCCAGAUGAAAAUGUUUUUCUUUAACUAGGCCUUUGGCUAAGCCUUGUUAUUUUGUGUUCUCAUUUUGUAUUUUUUGUUGUGAACUGCCCCGUGAUCUUUGGAUGAAGGGUGGUAUGUGUUAUGUACUGAAGUUCUCACCCUGGGCCAGCAGGGGGAUACUGUAGAUAGUUUUCACUCAGGUCCACAUAUGCAAAUAAGGGAUUGAAAGUGACAUUCAGUGAUUGGAUAGUUACAGAAAUUGGUUACUGUUGCGUUCUAGUGGAGCUCUAUAUAAGCAGGCCUGCUGAACCCUUCAGUUCAGUUCUGUUCUGGCCUGUGAAUAAACAAGAGCUAUUUGAAGAAUCCCUGUGUCGUCUGAUAUGUUCACCCACAACUUAACAGUAUGCAAAUCAAAUCAAAUCAAUCGAAUCAAUAAACACGUUAUUCUAGCUGUUGGGUUACUACUGAGAACAUGAAAUCUGUGGGCGCUGCUCCACUUGCUGUUUUGGGGAUGGCAUACCCAUGUUGCAUGCUUAUGUUAAUAUAAAUCAGACUAGCUAAUUCCUGAUUUGAUUAAAAUUAGUGUAACUACUAAUUUUACAAGAGGUUAGGCAACUCCUUUUCAUUAGCAAUGAACCAUGUAGAGUGGCAGGACAUACUCUGUUUGCAUUAGCUGUAGCAAUGAAUUGAGUCAGGGAGCCUAAGAGCUCGACUAUGUGCUCGAGUUUCAGGAACAGCAGAGAUAGGAUUUAAUUACUAUUACAAGGCUGCAUACAAUGGGUCUUUACAACAACCUGUACAAUUUUUUUUACAUGUGAGUCCAUCACAACUGUGUGCUUUCAAUGACGAUGUGUGUUAUACACAAGCCAGAGAAUUUGGAUUUGUUGCAGUUCUUCACAAUCUGAAUGCAGCUUCCCACCCUAUUUGCAGCCGUAUAGUGGGGGUCAAGCAGUACAUAGUCACCAUUUUCCCAGACUUAAUUCUUGUCCCAGGCUGUUCUUUCCAAAUGCUUCUUCUGCAAGUUGUAGGUCUCCUCCUCACUCUAGUAUUUGAAUAGUGCUGCUGUUUCACACCAACUUCACAAGUUGUGAGCUUGACUGAACAACAGUUCACUCCAACCCCAGCAGUCUUCUCAAUGUUUAGAUCAUCAGUGUCAGUUUCCCUGUUGUGUUUGCUAUUGCUCACUAUUAAAGCUCCGCAGCAUCCGUCCCUUUUCCUAAGCCGGAACGUUAGACAUCUUGCUGUGGUUGUUCAGUUCUUUGUGGUGAUUGGCACACCACUGGGCCAUGGAGCAUAGCCAAGGGUAGAAGUCAACCUGGUGUUUGUACAUCUCGCUCUUGCUGUUUUUACUAAACAAGAACUUGUUCUGCACCUACUGUGCUACUAUUCUGUUGCUGUUGACAAUCUUUUGAGAUUGUAAAGUCUUGGAAACUGUUCACUUUUCAUUUUUCUUGUCACAUUUCAUUGGUUCUACACUUAGAACGAAGCAUGGUCUGCAAACAUCCAGCCACUCCUAAAUUAUCAACCUAACACAGGAACAGAAUGUCCAGUGGGCCAGUGCCAUAGCAAUAGCCUCUGGCAGCAGCAUCACUGCCAUUCACCAAGAGGGGGAAGGAUGAGGCAGCGGUGAAAUUGUGGCUGCAAGGGCAUAUUCCUGAAGCCAAUCCAUUGGUCCCAUCCCACUCACACAGCCCCCACCUCACUGUUGUAUCACAUCUCCCUUCAGUAAGCUGUUCUAACAUUCCCCACAUGCCCAGAGGGGAAUGUGAGAGCAGUUGAAAGUGACGCUUAUCAUCCUUUCCCUAUGACCAUCCUGGCUGAGGCUGAUGUGAGCUGCAGUCCAACACCAUCUGGAGGCCCACAGGUUCCCCACACCUUCAACUGACGUCCUUUCAAGAGGAUAAAUAAAAGGAAUUGAUGGAGGGAGACCCUAACACCACUUACCUGAAUGUAAUCCUCAUUCAGUGUCACUUAAUUCUGAGGAGUCGUGUAUAGGAUUGCACUACUACAGCUAUCCUAUUUUCUGGUUCCACAUUUGUGCUGUCCCAGAAAAAGAAAAAGAAUAAAAGUAGAUAAUUUAGCAAACUAAUAUUUAGGAAAUCACCCAAAUAGCUUAGUAAGUAUUUAAAAAACCAAUAUUCUAAAAUCAUUAGUGGGGCACUGGGAGAAUUAUUACAUAAGUAACAUUCUGAAGAAAGAAUAUUGGCCUGUAAAAAUUACAGAGUUAAGUGGAAUUUGCCCACAGUGCUCUCAGUCUUUGAAUAUUUCAUGUAAUAAAUUUGUACCUCCGGUUAGUCCUUUGUGAGUAGUACCUUGCUUAAUAAGCUUCUUUGAGUUUGUAUGAUAACCUCUCUUCUUCUUCUUUGGCUUAUUCUCAUUCUCGUUGUUGUAAGAGACUGGCAUUAAGGGAAGAGAAUGCCUACUCUAACAGCACUACCAUCAUUAUUACAUUUAUAUAGCCUUCAACCAAUUAACAAGUACUCUUUUAAAUCUGAUUAACUGCAAAUUCCUAAACCGCUGCAGUGACCCAGAACCUUAUGGUGAUUAUUUCAUGAAAGUCCUAAAGUUUGUGUGUGCGUGCUCUCUCUGUGUGUUGCAAUUUGCUUAUAAAAGUUUUAUAUUCUUCCCUCAAAACUCCCUCCCAUCCUUUGUUCAAGCUCCUUUUGCUGAUAGGGUUCAGAGCUUGACCCUGAGGUCUCGUUAGACGAGGAGCGGGACCCUCUAGCAAGUCUCCACACUUCUCAUCACCCUGGAAAGCCAUCAGAUGUGGACUUGUCCCAGGACUAGCGGUCCCCACACCAGCUGGCUGUAUUCUUAACUGGCCAACCCCAUAACUACAGGAGCAGAGGAAGUGGUGAGCCAGGCAGACACAGCAGAACCACCACCAUCAAAGUGCUUAAUUAGCUGCUGGUGAGGAAGGGGAAGCUAAUGGGAAAUACCAUCUCAGAUUAGGACCUGACUGAAAGCCAGGAAGGGGUUAAGACUCUAGCUCCUAUAUAAGCUCCCCAUCUGAGCUGCUUCAUUUCCAAAUCAACAGCUCUUAUCAAAGUUUUGUUUUCUUCACCUGGGUGAAAUGACUGUGGCCAGGUGACCUGAUUCUACUCAUUCUCUUAUCCAGGUGCUAACAAUUGAUGGCAGCUUCAUGGUGUCUGCUCUCUCUUCUUGAGGUCCUUUAUAUUUACACUGGGCUUGUACAAGAAAGCCAUUCUAACACACAACACCUUCAGAUAGAGGACUGCCCUUGACAUCCCUUCAGUGGCCACCUCUGUAUUCACAGGUAAGCACUCCUGCUCAACUUCUUUGUCUGGGUGGGUAGGACAGCCCACCUUGAGUGAGUCUCAGUCUAUUUUCAUCCCUGCCUGCCAGGCUGUGUAGAUCCCCAUAAGGAAAAAUUUACCAGGGGGUUCAGGAUGGGGUAGCAGCUGGUGGCUCCUGAAGUGUUACAAGAAAUGCUUAUUUGAAAUGAGAACAAAAUAUUGCCAGUAUAUUGACAUUGCAGCAUGUCCUUCCACCUGGGAUCAUGUGGGUAGAGAUUUUCCACCAGGGAUUGAUGAGAGUUGUAUCUACUUGUUCUUAGGUGGAAGGAAGAGGCAAUAGGCUGCCACAGAGCCUCUUUGAUACUGCAUUUGGAGCCUCUGCCUGCUUACCCUAUCAUGAUGCCCAAGGUAAACUUUCCCCCUUUGUGUACCCUGCUGAAUUGGAGAGGGGUGGAGAGAAAGCUUCUUUUUGCAUUCUUUCAAACAUCAAGCCCACCUCAAGGAGUGCUAUUGUUUGAUUAGGAUUGCUCACCUCAAAAUUGAACUGAGACCAGUCUGCCACAUCUUUAUAGCAGAUCCCAUAUUUCUUGAGCAGCUGGCAAUGAUGCUGCAGGUGACAAGUGCUGGGCAGCAUAGACCUUUGAUCUUUCCUAGUAAGCUGGAUUUUACAUGGACAAGCUUCCAAUUCUGAAGGCCUUGAGUCUACUAUUUCUAAAGGACUUGGAUAUGAUCUCAAGGGCAGUGAAUGACCGAAUUUCCAUUAAUUGCGAAUGGAGAGGUGAAGAUCCCAGGAUAUCAGGUGUAUGACCAUUGCAUCCAAAUGUGUAAAAAGCCACAAGCAGAGCAAUCCCACUUUAAUGAAAAAUAAAGUGUGUUUCCAUCACAUUUCUCUGUCUAAAUGCACUUCUUUGAUGUUGUUUUGCUGCCAUACCCAGUAGGAUUCCAGGUAAACGGAGCCCUCUUCACCUUGUUUUUCUUUUUCAAGCAAUAAAGGAGUGCUAGCAAGCCAGAAAAGUAGGACAUAAAUAUGAGCACCAUUAAAACAAGUGAUCUCCUCCUCUCACAUUCCGUAUUCUGAGAAGCCUCGUGCUCAUUUUUUUAAUUAGAAAUUCAAAAUUUAUUGCCCUUUCUUAAGUGGCUUCUAAAUGUUUCUGAUAAUACGUUGACAAUAAAGAGCUCCUGUGUCCAUCUACUUAAUAGUGAAGAUGAGUCAGCAACGCAGGGAGAUGUAGCCUUGGGAGAGCAAAUACUGGCUGAAAGCCUGCUGCUGCAUUUUAUUAUUCUGAUGAAGUGAUGAAGUGUAAAACUUGUACAGUGUCAUUUUGCCAUGCAUCUCUUUAGGGGUUCACAAAGAGUAGCAAUUUCUUAAACGUAGGCAGGGAAAGUGUUGCUUUUAGUUAAUGCAUCAUAAAAGGUCACCGUAAGUAUAUAUGCAGAACUGUCAAAAUGAUGAGUGCAUAAGUCAACAUGCUGAAGCUCAGUUUACAUCUGUUCUUUUUCUUUUUAAAAAGAUGUUUCCAGGCCAUAUUGUUGAAGAGAUAAGUUUGAAAAGUGGUGAUGUCUGCUGAGAGCUUGGAAGCCACUGAUUGGAGUACAUAGCUGUAAAACAUCUCUAGUGGGUGGAGGAAGCACCUUCAAUGGCCUUCACAGUUCUUUGCACCUAGCCAAGACAGGCGGAAGCAGAGUAACUUUGCAGAAACAACAAUGAGCAAACAUGUUGCACACGAAUUACAUAUCUAGGUGGCACUAAUCAGCUCCCCUUGGCACAAAAUGUGCAUUACCUUAGUGCAGCAUUCUGAUUUUGUUUUAAAGCAGAAUAUUAAAAAAGACCAGUACGC